UACGUAGGGUCCGAGCGUUAAUCGGAAUUACUGGGCGUAAAGCGUGCGCAGGCGGUUUUGUAAGCCAGAUGUGAAAGCCCCGGGCUUAACCUGGGAAUGGCAUUUGGGACUGCAAGGCUGGAGUACGGCAGAGGGAGGUGGAAUUCCAGGUGUAGCAGUGAAAUGCGUAGAUAUCUGGAGGAACACCGAUGGCGAAGGCAGCCUCCUGGGCUAGUACUGACGCUCAUGCACGAAAGCGUGGGGAGCAAACGGG
rnacentral:rRNA from 1 species